UUCUCUCCUUUUUGGAACUUCGUUUUAGAUUGGGAAAAUACACCCUGUAUUCAUAUUAAGGGAAGGGUGAAUGGGUAAAAUCACUUGACCUCAUUUUGCACUCGGUUGCGAAGCUAUUCAAUGAGGUUUACCCGAUCAAACCUCUGACCUGCGGUCGAUCGCCUCUCUCCCUCUUUCGACCACCGCCGUCUGGCUAUUCCAACGAGCAGAAACACCGAAUCCAUCCUCAUUAUGUUCAAUUUGGAUUUUGAAGGUAAAAGAUAAACCCUAUCAUUAUUACCUUUUCAUUCUCUCCUUCAAAUCUGAGACUUUGAUCUUUUAAAAUCCUUUUUCAAUCCUUCAAAUUCACACCUUAAAUUUCGCUGUCUGUCUCCAUUUACACCAUUAUCGAUCGUACUUCACUCCUCUUGUUUGCUCUGACGUUUGCCACCUGCUCCGUUAAUCAUGUUUGCUGUGUAUUGUUCUACUCAUCUUCGCCAUUUUUUUCUCGAUCGCCUUCGUCCCUACCAGGUAAUCUUCUUCUCUGUUCUGUUUGCUUCUUAAAACCUACAUAAUUCACCACUAAGACCUAUGUGAACCUCGAGGACCGACUCGAGUUCAUUCAUGUCGGUUUCUAUUAAAUUAUUGCUUCCAAUAGUACUACUUAUGUCCUCUGUCUGAGAUUUUCGUUGUAGAGGACCUAAUUUCUUUGAUUUCUUGAAAGUUUGCCCACAAGACCAGGAAUUUUGUUAGAGUUUGACAUAAUAGGUAUAGUAGUUGGAUUCCAUUAUAUGUUUAUCUCUAGAGACAUUACAAGAUGAUCAUGCUCUCUGUAAUGACGUAAAUGAUUUGUGUUGUGUCAGUGGUUGUUUGUGAUGCGAGUACAAUGAUAUGAUCAAUAUAUAUCUCAGUUUAUGUUUUGAGUAUGUGUGUAUGGUUGUGUGUGGUUUGAGUGCUUUUGUGUAUGUGUGUGUGUGUGCUGGAAUUGACAUUACUUUUCCUGUUUGUAAAGGCUUGGAGUUCUUUGAAGCAUUAUACAAGAUUUUAACUAUAACUCUACCUUUAAUUUCAGGUAUCUGAUUAUUUUAGAAAACACUUGAUUUUUUUAGCUUGAUUAUUUUGCAGUUUGAUCUCUUCUCUUUUCUCCAUUCCAAUUUU
rnacentral:lncRNA from 1 species